AUGCUGUGAUAAUUUUUUGUUAUGAUUUUUGUAAAGCUUCAAAUAUUUUGAAUAAUGCUGGGAUCGAUAUAUUUUAUAAUUUAGUAUUUUUUGCGUUAUUAAGUAAUAUCUUAGUAUUUUGAUGUCAUAUUGAUUGUAAAGUGGAGAUAACCAUUGAAUGUUAAAUUAUAAUGGAAAAACCAGCCUGUUUUCAAUAAAUGUGAAAGUUAUUCUUUGAUUCCUACCCAAAGAUUGCCCUUUUUGUAGAUUCAACAGAGGAAAAUGCAGGCUUGCAACUCGCCAACAGAAGUGAGAUUGCUUCCUCGGUACUCACUCGUGUACUGUGCUGACAUGAACUACUCUGGAUGUUGUGAAAGGCUCGCUACAGAUGCACUACAAAAUAUUAAAUCCAAGUAUCCAGUUAUUUCCUUGAUUAUUAUACUAAAAUUAUGAAAACACGACAUUAUUUAAUCAUUUUAUUUAUUCUUCUAGUGAGUUGUAAGUUAUAAGGAGAGAAAACAUAAUUACUUGGAAACAUAUGCAGCAUUUCCAUCUAUUUCUCACCAUAUGAAUCGGCUGAAUCAAAAAACUGCCCAUUAUGAGAUCAAUUUCUGAAAAGAGUCGAAUAAAUAUGUCACCACAGAAUGGAGUCGGCAUGGGAGAGCCUUCUGCAUGUGUCCGUCCUCACCAGGGAAAGGUUGCCCGGCAAGUAACGAACCCCUUAGUGCUAGAACAGGACAAGAAAUGUUUCCAGGUAAUAUUGUUAGUCUUUCGCUUCCAGGAAACUUAUUUUCUGGGAUAAUGAAAUAUUUUAUUGCUUCUUAAACAAUUUUCCAGCCUUUAUUACUCCUAAUGAG